rfam:Ovis aries breed Texel chromosome 16, whole genome shotgun sequence.
UCCCUGCUGGCUCAGACGAUAAAGAAUCCACCUGCAAUGUGGGAGACCUGGGUUCGAUCCCUGGGUUGGGAA